rnacentral:rRNA from 1 species
AGGACGAACGCUGGCGGCGUGCUUAACACAUGCAAGUCGAGCGGAAAGGCCCUUCGGGGUACUCGAGCGGCGAACGGGUGAGUAACACGUGAGCAACCUGCCCCUGGCUCUGGGAUAGCCUCCGGAAACGGGGAUUAAUACCGGACAUGACCUGCUGCCGCAUGGUGGCGGGUGGAAAGUUUUUCGGCCAGGGUGGGACUCGCGGCCUAUCAGCUUGUUGGGGGGGUGACGGCCCACCAAGGCGACGACGGGUAGCCGGCCUGAGAGGGCGACCGGCCACACUGGGACUGAGACACGGCCCAGACUCCUACGGGAGGCAGCAGUGGGAAUAUUGCGCAAUGGGCGGAAGCCUGACGCAGCGACGCCGCGUGCGGGAUGAAGGCCUUCGGGUUGUAAACCGCUUUCGACCAGGGGCGAAGCGAGAGUGACGGUACCUGGGGAAGAAGCGCCGGCUAACGUACGUGCCAGCAGCCGC